rnacentral:lncRNA from 1 species
AGGAUUUAGACAAUUAUAUCUUUAGAGAUUGUGCUCUCUUCUGAUCAUGAUUAUCUUUUUGGAUGAUCUUCUGUCUUACAAUUAUCUUGUUGGAUAUGUCAUAAAAUCAAACUGAUUUCAAAACUAUUUUCUCUGCCUUUAUUCUUUCAGUGCCAAGAUAAUGGUGAAAAUCUCUAGCCCAUUCUGCCAGAGAGCACUGAAUUCAGCCCAUUUGUAACUCAGAUUUAGUUGACUAUAAUUUCAAUUUUGAAAAUUAAAUCUGGUGACUUCCUGAUCAUAGACAGCACUACUCUAUGCCUACCAUUCCAGACAACAGUCAACUAAAGACUUAAAACACUCCGGAGCAUUUGCUUUCUAAACUUAUGCUACCCUGGUGCUUAGAUGUACUUCAGCACUUACUGAAGUCCAUAAUUCUGUAUUUACCAUUCUCACAAAGCAUCAAGGCAGUUGUAGGAGGGGGUCCAAGCAUUAUCAUGGGACUUAAACAGAAUCUUGUGUAGCUCUCUUUGGGGUGGUUGUUUUGCCAAAAGGCAGGAGGUUCAGUAGUUUGCAGCACCAAGAAGAGCCUAUUGAAUAUCUGUGGAUGAUUGGGGUCAUCUGCUGAUAAUCAAGUAGUCUUGAGCUGUAUGUCCAUGGCCCACCGAGGCUCAGGUCUAAAAUAACUACCUUGCUGAGCCUCUUACCAUAAAUGUACUCAUCAGGGUAUCCUUCCACCAUGUCAGACUGUGGCCUGAAGAAGAAGACUUUGUGAGGUGGAAUGUGGCUCAGCACACUGAUGUUUUAUUCACAAAUCUCCCCCUAGGUUUUUACAUUAUUCCAUAGGGAGAAACCUUUAUAAAGACAGUGUUCUCAAUAUACUUCAUGGUAGGAAAUAUUCUAAAUCAAGAAUGAAGGUGUCUUCUAAAUGAGCAUGAGUCAUGGGAAAUAAUCUCUACAACUCAAAGAAAUACAGAAUAUAGUGUGAAACCAUGAAAGCACUCCUCAGUCAUAUGUGAGCUACCCAUAAUGUAAGUUUAUUCAGAGAAUUUGGAUAGAAUAAAUUAGGAAUUGACCUGGGGAACAGACAUCCUACAAGCAUUCAAGAAUGUACCAGGCAAAUGCUGCUGCCAGUAUCGACCCUGGACUUCAAGUUCCUUGAGUCAGUGUGUGUCCAAAGCCAUGUGGCAUCGAUGUCUAUCCUCAUUCAUAGUUUUGAGAAAUGUAGCUGGCCUUAAGUCACUGGCUAAGACAUCUGAAUAACUGGGUCAGGAGUAAGUGAUGUAUAGAAGAAAAAAGAGAGUGACCACUGAGGCAUGGCCUUAUAUAUCAUAGGGUAGAGAGGAAAUGCAUCACUAACAGGAGUUCAUUUCAUUAUGACAUGCAGCCUUCAAUUUAAAGAGAUGUUACCCUUCCUUUCUCAUCCCAAUCCCCCUCUAUUAAUGUACUACAGAAGAUACUAAAGAUAACCCUCCCAUCUUUAAGAUAAAAGGAAAGCGUUCAUACAUUUGGUGCUGGGUAAAAGAAAUAUUUAAGCCAAAUUGAAGGCAUCAAAAAUAAGUAACUGCAUUGAAAAGUCACAGCCAUAUUGAACAAUAAACAAUUUAUGGAAGGAGCCCAGAAAAAAUUGUUUUUUAAAAAAUUGAAAAGCAUAGCUUCUGACAAGUAUUCUUUAUUUAUGAGCAUAAGUAGAAUUUUUCAAGGAACACAAAAAUACUAAAAUAAAAUGCAAGUUCGACACAUACAUUUCUCUUUAAGGCUUGGCAUAAAAGGGGAAUCUAGGUAGAUAUGAGGUUAAUUGCACCGUUUAAUUCAAUGAUCAUCAUCUACAUUAAUUGAGAGAACAGAAGAUCUGGAUUACAUGAAAUCUUAAAUGAUUCCAAGCCACUUAUAGUUGACCAGGGAAGUGUUUUGGGCCUUUGACUUGAGUACAGGUAAGCCUGAGGAUCUAGCAAUUCGGUUUUUAAGAAGUAAGGAAGUCUCACAAAUGAAGUCUAGACACCCAAGCCUAAGAAAUUCUUGCUCCCCCUCCUUUCUUAGCUCAGCUCCUCCCUUCUUGUCCCCAGGGGGCUUGCAGGCCAUACUCACCAGACCAGUGGUGGCCCUACUUUCUGCUGAGUUCAUCAGAUAACAUGAUGAUUCAUUGGUUGUAUUCUUGUUCUCGCUUCCUGUUAGAGCUCCUCUGAUUUCAUUAAUGUGUGGUUGGAGGGAAAGAAAUAGGAGGAGGUGUGGAGAGGGUUAACUCAGAAAGUGUUUGCCCCAUUGACACAACUCUAGGUCUGACAGAUCCCAGACUGUUUACCGUUUUCCAAAACACAAAAACAAAAACACUAUCUCUCUUAAAUAUUGCUCUGGUUCUAAGGCAAGUUGGAAUAUGAAUUGUUUUGAAAGGAUUCUGUGCAUGCAAAGUGAAUGCUGUCAAUAAUUAAGGAGAUGAGAUGCUGUCAAUAAACCUGAAAUAAUGAUCUUCCUUGGAGCAGCCACAUUAUCUCUUCUCUACCCUCUUCUCACAUGGCCUCCCUCCAAGAUAACCUAGAUUUUUCUCAAUAUUGUUUAGGAGGGGAAACUCCCCAUGUAGCUUUUUAGAGACUUUGAGAAAUUCCACAGACCAUGUUUUUCUUCCUUUUCAGAUGGAUAUAUUGCUACUGUUUUCUUAAAAUCCAUGGUGGCUUUUGGCCAAUUAUUAUCAACUGUCCUCACUCCAGUGUUCCAUGCAUUUAAAGAACCCAAUAUAGUUUCAUUACUUGAUGACUAUAGCAAUAAAGAUACCUCCUGGGUGAAGAGAGUCUUGCCUUUGCAAAUUAAUUUCACAUGUGCUAGUUCAUGUUUUCAGCACCAUCUGCCAACAACCCUUCUUCUGGCUAUAACUGAUUUCAUAUUAUUGGUCCACUGGAACAUUUUGGAUUUCAACAAAUGUUUUUAAAUGAAAGUAUAGACAUUCCAUGUCAGAGAAGUCACUUUCCUUAAUCUUCCACUUUAGGAGCUGUUUCUGCCACAGCCUUGCUCAAGUCACCCCCACUUCUUGAGGAGACCACAUUUUGGAAACCUAUCUCUGAUCCUUUUUUCCAAAAGAUGACACAAAACUUAUCUUCCUGAAUGAGACCACAACUAAUCAUAAAUUUUUCUGUGCCAAUCUCAAAACUUUGCUCUUUUCCCUUGCACUAAAUUACAUUUCUGCACCAUAUUUGAUGCCAUUUUUCAUCAAUGAUGGUGGUUGUCUCAGGUAUAUAUUUUCUCUGCCCCAGCUGAGUCACAGCUCUUUCAAAGCAGAGACAUGGUGUUUGCCUUUUCUAUGGCCCAGAGUUCCCCACCCAGAGCUCUGAAUCAACUCCAAAGGCCUGUGCUUUAUGAUACCUCUGAAACCUUCUGCUGCGCCAAUUCAAUGCUAAGAAUGUUCUAAAUCCACACACCCCCUCAGCUCAUUGAUGAGCACAGUCCUGGAAAAAUAAGAACUCCAGAUGGUCCCUGCCAUUUCAGGAAAGGAGGGGCCACAAAGGUAGAAGGUGAGGGGAACAAGAGCCAGGAUAUGAGAAAGGAAAGUUAGGAAGGGUGGUGGGAGGAAGCAGUAAAACAGAACUGUGUGAAAAAGGGAAUGUUUUCAGCUUUUUAAAAAUUCAUAUAACUACAUUUUAUGUUUACUCCUUGGAAUCUAGGUAUAGCUUUGUGCAGUGUUGGUGAAAGGAAAUUUAUUUUUAAGCUGCAUGUGGGCUGUACUUUAAAGGUUGAAGACUGCAGGGGUUGAAAUGUAUGCUCUUUAGGAGUAGCUGUGAGAAACAUCAGAAUUACCAGUACAACUAACCAUGGCCCCCAUCUCUGAAUUCCAGGCACCAGGUGGCAUUUUGGCAAAUCUGUUCUCUGUGCCCUACCAGCUAAAAAAUCUUAUGUUUGACUAGUACCAUCUGCCUCAGCCUAGCAAAGCCAACCCAAAUCCAAAAUGAGCAGGUGGAUUCAGGUCCUAGAGAUUGGCACUUUCUGGGGAAAACUGGAGAAAUUCAUUAACCAUUAGCAGUUUGAAAUGCUAAUUUACAAGUUGAACCUAAAGUACAGUCAUUCUCUGAAUACGUCUUCUCAGGAUGAGAAGGAAAUUGGCUAAUUUAGAAGGAAUUUGAGUUCUUAAUGAGUGUUUCCAACAGAUUCCAUAAUGACUCCAUUCUGUUUUUGCCAUGUAAAGAAGUAUGCCCUUUCACUGUUGUUAGCAAGCACUUUUUAGAGAUUCACUCCUACACAGUACAGAGACAAUUAUUUCUCCAUGGAUAUCUAUAGAUUCAGUACCUACAGGUUCUGUGCUUAGAAUUAGAACAUGUUCAUUCACGCCAUAUCUCUCCACACCAAGACUAAAAACCAAAUGCAGCAACAUCCUAAAUAAGGCCAAAGUAUUAUAUAAACCUCUAAACUGCCGCAUGCAUGUGAUAAAAGAAAAGAAAAUUGGAUGUUUUGAUCAAUCUCAUAUUGUAGCUUGCCACAAUGUAAUUUGGUUUAUAUCUUCACCAAGAAACAUGAGCCGAUGAUGUAAAUGGAUGACUAGAGAAUCAGGGCAAAGGUCAUAUAUGAGACUGCUCAGACUGCCAUAACAAAAGAGCACAGGUUGGGUGGAGAAAAUGGAAAUCCAGGAUCAAGCUUUCCCCUAGGAGAUCUCUUCUUUGUGUGCAUGUGCACAUGUGCAUGUGUACAUGCGUAUGUGUGUGCGUGUGCGUGUACGUGUGUGCGUGUGCGUGUGUGUGUGUGUGUGUGUGUGGAGAGAGAGAGAGAAAUGGAGAAGAGGGGAGGGGAAAAAGGUGAGUAGGAGAGAGGACAGGAUAGAAGGAGAGAGAUCCGGUGUCUCUUCUUACAAGGACACUAUCUGAUCAGGGCUCUACCUUUAUGAUCUCUUUUAACAUAAUUACUUCCUUAUCCCAAAUACAGCCACUCUGGGUGGAUAGGGUUUCGACAUGUAAAUUUGAAGCAGACAUAUACGUUUAGUCCAUAAAAGUGACAUUUCAGCCAAUAAAGUUUAUUAUUGUAUUUGUCACAUUUAGACUGACUCAAGCCUUGAGGAAUCCCUGAAUGCUGUUCGAAUCUGCUGAGUUUAAAUGACAUUCCCAGUGGUCACAUAGUAGUUUUCUAACCUGAGACUGGAUUCCAGCCCCAUGCUGUUGUGCUUGCCAGAACCAUUCAGUGUUUCCCCUUCUUCCCUCCCUGCCAAGGUGCCUCUGUACUGCUUUGGUGGCCAAUGAAUUUCACGUUGUUUAGCAAUGUUUUUUUGCUGUCAAGUCUUAGAAAAUAUCCAAAGAAUCCAAAGAAAGGUUUUUCUCUCCAUUCUACUGCUUUACAUUCUCUCCACUGCCAUUUUUGCUUAAAUUUCUGGCUUAAAAUUAUUGGUGAUCUCCAUGCCUCCAUUCUCUUCUUCUAACAUUCUCUUCUUCUAUCAGGACACUUAACUAACAAGACUGUACUCCCUUAAAUAAUCCCCUUGGUUCUACACUAGACUCCCAGGGGUCUAAAGUUGAUAUGUCAAGGCAGCUAUGUAGAUAAUAAGGGGAUGACUAAAGCUUUUGUGCACUGGAAAGAGAAGGGGUGCAAUGCAAGGGCUCAAGGGCUUUGCUAUAAGUGGUAUUUGGGUAGGCUGCUAUAAGAAAAACAUCAAAUGUUAGUGGUUUUUGUUUUUAAUUUUUAAUUUUUAUUUUUUCCUUUUCUGGCCACCUCCUUGGCAUACGGUGUUCCUGGGCCAGAGAUCAGAUCUGAGCCAUAGUUGUGACCCAAGCCACAGCUGCAGCAACACUGGAUCCUUUAACCACUGUGCUGGGCCAGGGAUCGAACCUGUGACCAAUCUCAUUGCACCACAGAGGGAACUCCCAAAUAUCAGUGGUUUAACACAAUGAUAAUCUAUUUCUUGCUCACAUCACAGUUCAAUUUCAGGUCAGGUGGACCUUCUGAGCGCUUUUUCUCCAAGCAGUGACUUAGAAAUUCAGGCUGCUUCAUUUCGUGGCACUACUUUACCUCAUCUUUGCCCAAAGUCAGCAGAAGAGCAAAGACAGCAAGUGUGGAGGAUCUUUCAGAAUUUUUAUAGUUAGUGAUGAAAAUGUUGAUGCAUGUACAACUGCCUUUCUAUGACCAGAACCCAGCCACAUGACCCCAAGCUAACAGGAAGGGAGUCUAGGAAAUGCAUUCUUCCAUGUGCCCAGGAAAAGGAAAUGGGACUCAGUAGUAUCUGGCCAGUCUCUGACACAGCUCACAACCCUUUCUAUACCACUAAGAAGCAUUUUGGUUCUUAAGUGAACUCACCAGAUUGGGUGACACUAGGGCAGGGGGUGGGGGGAAGGGGUGGGAAAGCACAAAAUAAUUGUCAGUAAUUCCACAUUAGCUAUAACAUGAAAUGCAAACUCCUUGAUGAAUCUCAGAAGACACAGCACAGCAAUACUGUGUAAUUAUUAAGUGUACUGUCUCAGGAAUCAGGCAAUCUGGGUACAGCUGAUGCUGCUGGUCCUGGAUCAUAUAUUGAGAACUACUGACCAUAACCCAUCCCACAUUCUGUGGGUGUCCCUCUCCCCAUCUGAUGAUAAACUCCUGAAGCCUUAUUUAGAAGAUUAGCCAACAGACUUUGCUGUCUGUUUGCUUUAAAUCACUGUUCCUUACUCUCCCUGAAUUUAAGUUACUUAAAUUCCUGGACAAGUUACUUCAACUCUCUGAGCAAGAUCACUUAUUUGAAACCUGGGAGUAAUAAUGCCAAUCUCAAAGGAAUUUAUAUUCGAUUAUCUAUAGAAAAUAUUUGCACCUUCCUUAAAACAUGGGAAACACACAAUAAAUGCCAACUUCAAACAUUAUCAGAUGAAGAUAGGGACCAUGUACUUUGCCUUUGGAAUAUAUCUAGCUAACAAUAAUAACCACAAAAUUGAAUUUUUUAAAAAAUGAUUUUUAGAUAGUAUGGGGUAGUUUUAAAAGCAGAGGUUUAGCUGUGUGGCUUUGGGCAAGUAACUUAACAUCUUUCUUAUGUAUAUGCCUAUUACCUAUGUCACAAGAUUGAGGUCCUCCCUGCUAUGUCAUGAGAUAACAGGUAGAAGCUUCUAGCACAGUCCCUAUAAUAUAGUAAGUGCUUAAUGCAGUUACUAAUUUCCUCUCAAAAUGGUCCUGUAGUGGAAAGUAAUGUUUAUGUGAGUGAGAAAAAGCCAUCUUAGAAAGACAUUUUGAGAGAAUUAAAUGAUUACAGUUUCAAGCAAAUGCUUAUUAGGGUGAUUUUUUGAUCCUGACCUUCAUCACAUCACCCCCACCAAUCCCAGUUGAGAACAGUUUCUCAAUGUUUUUAUCCAAAUGAUAAUCACUGUGCAGAAAAAAAAAAAAUCAACAUCUCUUCAUUCAGCAACUUACAGUACCUAUCUUAAUAAACCACAAUGAACUGAAGAAGUGAACAAUAACCAGAUAAACAGGCCUCUCUCUCCAACUGUCAUGUCUGUUUGUGACAGCAACUGGUAUUUCAUUGUAAAAGAUGCUAAUUUCAAUCUGAGCUGUGGCAGUUGAGAGAAACAUAAAAGGAAUUCUUGAUUAUCUAUAUCAGUAACUGUGGUCCCUAGGGAUACACUUGGAAACUUCAGAUCACAUAUGGCAAGAGUGUUGUGACAGAAUAUGCAUCAAUGAAGCUUCCUGAUUUAUGAUAAUAAAGAAAUUAAUAGUUUUGCCUUUUAUGAUAUUUCUUUGUGGCUGGUAUUUCUCUCUUUUUACUAUUUCUGGAGGCUUUAUAAAUGACACUUGUUGUACUGAUUAUUACAUUACUCUGUACCUGGACCACCAUCUCAUUUCUGUUCUGUCAAAUUCCUGGGGGCUUAUCAUAAUACUGUCAAUAAUAAUGAUUUUUUCAAUCUAAAAGUAAGAAAUAGUAAUUACCUUAGCUGCUGGACCACAUUAGCUGCCUAUCAGAGUUAAACAAACACUAAUUAUUAUUUCAACUUAAACAUCACUGCUUAUUAGCAUUAGCCAGGCCGCAGAAGAGGAAAAGGUAGAAGUUCCCAGAGAUUCAUAGUGCCGUGGGGGGAGAUGGGUGUGAAGGUAAAAUCAGCAUGACCAUUAUCUUUCUUGGGAAUAGGCCAUUCUUUAUUUUAAAAUAUUCCCGGGCCAAGGACCGAAUCCAAGCCACAGCUGUCACCUACACCACAGCUCCAGCAACACCGCAUCCUUUAAUCUAGUGUGCUGGGCUGGGCAUCAAACCCACACCUCCAAAGCUACUCGAACCACUGCAGUCAGAUCCUUAAUCCACUUCACCACAAUGGGACUUGCCUUUUAUCUUAAAUGGUGAUAAUGUUAGAUUAUUAGGUUGGAAAGAGUGUUUAGUAUACUUACUUGGCAAAAUUAAAAGUUAG